UACGAAGGGGGCUAGCGUUGCUCGGAAUUACUGGGCGUAAAGCGCACGCAGGCGGUUCGCCAAGUUUGGAGUGACAGUUGUCGGCUCAACCGACAAAGGACUUCAAAAACUGGUGAACUUGAGGACGAGAGAGGAACAUGGAACUCCAGGUGUAGUAGUGAAAUGCGUAGAUAUCUGGAAGAACACCAAUGGCGAAGGCAAUGUUCUGGCUCGUUUCUGACGCUCAGGUGCGAAAGCCAGGGGAGCGAACGGG
rnacentral:rRNA from 1 species